rnacentral:ribozyme from 1 species
UGGAAACACCUUGCAGUUGCACCUUGGAAAAAAAAAAAAAAAAAAAAAAAAAAAA